rnacentral:lncRNA from 1 species
GAGAUGGCUUAGAGUGCCUUACCUCCUACCACCCAGCUUUGCUAGAAGAUUUGAAGCACCUCGCAAGCAUGACACCUUCCAAGAGGUACAAGGGACCACAUGACUGUUGAUAGCAGGAGGACCGGAGCCAGAAGCUCUCUGUAUGCAGUAGAAGGUGCAGAGCUGUGUGCCUGAACUUGCACCAUGCCACCUUCAGCCAGCACCGGAGUAGGAGGAAAGGAAAGAUUCAGAUGAUAAGCAACAAAUGAAGACCUGACAAUGCAUUCAACAAAUUCUCAAAUUAAACAGGGCCAUGACAAGUAAGUGAAAAUCACUUCAUUUACAUUCAUUUUUUGUGAAGCAAGUCCUACA